CAUUUCUGGGCAUAAUUCAAAGUGUUGGUUUUGACCUAUAAAGCCCUAUAAAGCUUGGGUCCAGGCUAUUUGAAGGACCGUAUCUCCCUGUACAAGCUUCCCAGAGCAUUGAGAUAAUUGAGAAAGGCCCUUUUCUCAGGUGUGUUCAAGCUUUGGAACUCCCUCUCUAGAGAGGCCUUCUGACGGCAGAAUAAUUCCUGCAUGGGAAUUUCAGGACAUUGACUCCUACGAGGAAAAAUUCAGGUGUUACAUUUUUACCUUUCUGAAGGCAAGACAGACUUCAAACUAUGAAGAUACCUUGUUCUGGGCAGUUGUUUCAUGAAUCUCAGGGUUGCAUCCAAUACACCAAUGGCAGCUGAUGGCUUUCAUAUCAGUGAAGUGAAAUGCUAGAUUUCAGCCUCAGGGUUAAAUGUGCUGAAUGCUAUUCCCAAAAUAGGUUCAACGUCUUGGAUGGCAUUUUCAAAGAUAGGACUGAAUUUCAGAGUGGAUUUGCUGCCUCACUGACAUGGGAACCACCAGCCACCACUGAUAUGCAUGUGAUCAAUUAAACUGUAGUUCACAAAAGCCCAUGCCUUUGUGAUUUUUUUGGUAUUUAAUGUGCUACAAAUUCUCUUUUUGUGCAUGUUUGCCUGCCCAUAACAGACUAAAGUUGUAGAUAUCGAUUAACGUGGAUUCUAGGAACCUUGUGCAAAGGCUUUAAAGGAACAGAGGAACUUUGCCUUAAUAGAAAAUGGCUGCUCCACAAACAAUUCAAUGACAGUAGAGGUGAGGAGACGCUUCACUGACAUUUCAGAAGCGAAAUCGGCUUUCACACUCUCACGCUUCAGGUACAUUUUACUGGCACUUAACCCACAGUAAGCACCAGUGUGAAAAUCUUCAUUGAGAAAGAAAAACAUCCCCUUACAUGAUUUUCCUGAACCUAGUUGCCUUCAGAUGUUUUUGGACUACAUCUCCCAUUAUCUCUGGCAUUUGAUGAUGUUGGAAACAGUUUAUGUAAGUUAUUGACCAAAACAUCUGGAGCAGACCAUGCUGAAGCAAAACCUUUUGCAUGGCAGGAGUCCUUAGGAAAGAUGUAAAAGUCACUUCUAGGAGUAUGAUUAUAAGAAAAUUCUCCAGGGAGCAUAGCCAGUGGCCAUAGGGAAUCCUAGGUGCUGCCACCCAAUAAAGUAUAGUAGACC